rnacentral:tRNA from 1 species
CUUAACGGCGUGGGGGUUCAAAUCCCUUCACCUCAUUAUUAUA